GUAUCCGUGAACCAUCUCAGUGGC
rnacentral:siRNA from 1 species